CUUCCCGGAUCGGACCGGUGCAUUCAAAAAAGGCGGUUUCAGCCACCACUGACAGAUGGACCCGCGGCGCAUUAGCUAGUUGGUGAGGUAACGGCUCAUCAAGGCGACGAUGCGUAGCCGACCUGAGAGGGUGAUCGGCCACACUGGGACUGAGACACGGCCCAGACUCCUACGGGAGGUAGCAGUAGGGAAUCUUCCGCAAUGGACGAAAGUCUGACGGAGCAACGCCGCGUGAGUGAUGAAGGUUUUCGGAUCGUAAAACUCUGUUGUUAGGGAAGAACAAGUACCGUUCGAAUAGGGCGGUACCUUGACGGUACCUAACCAGAAAGCCACGGCUAACUACGUGCCAGCAGCCGCGGUAAUACGUAGGUGGCAAGCGUUGUCCGGAAUUAUUGGGCGUAAAGCGCGCGCAGGCGGUUUCUUAAGUCUGAUGUGAAAGCCCAUGGCUCAACCGGGGAGGGUCAUUAGAAACUCCGGUACUCGAGUGCAGAAGAGGUGAG
rnacentral:rRNA from 1 species